rnacentral:lncRNA from 1 species
AAAUAACUUCUUGAUCUUUAAAAAGAAAUUAUUCCAUAGGGAGAAAAAGCAAAUUAGUGCAUGUCAAGAAUCAUAUGGCUCUGCUGAAUGAUAACAGGAGUGGCCAUUCUCUAAGUGAGGUGUCUUGCCUCCACAGUUAGAAAAAACAAGCUGGAAUAAUUCCACCUGGUUCUUGGACUCUCUGAAGUUACUUCGUGUGAAUGAGUCUUGAGUUUGGACAUAAUUGUAAACAUUGGUUACAGUACCAAGGCUUUGACUGGAACGUCAUAUUUGAGAAAAAUAUACAGACUCAGACAUGACCGGAUAGCUUUUGAGGAAUGAAGAUUGAAUUUAUAAAAUAAAGCCAUUUGGAAAUAUGGGCCUGGUACCUUGCUUACAAGGGUUCAAAGCACACACACUGGACAAGUAAAGAAGGUCACUUAUCGGGCAGGUGCAAAGAAGUUCAAUAUUUUGGGGACCUCAGAAAAGAGGAAUUCCCCCAAAUCUGUUGGUAUUGCAGGUGGAGUCUGAUGACAAGUCCUUGGUCUGGCUUUCCUGGUCUCAAGAGGCUUUUAAAGUUCAAUCUGAGAUUUCUUAUAAAAGUUCUAGCAAAGCAGAUUUAAAAGAGCUUAUAUGAUAGAUUGCUAUCUUGCUGUACUUAUGUAAGUAAAUGGGCCACGUUUAUUGAAACUUGAAUUAUUUUGUAAAUAAGUCGAUCUUAGUUUGACUAUCUGUGGUAAAAAAAGGGGGUGAUUCUAGAGAGAAAAAUUAUGUUUCAAUAAAAACUAUAAUACAGA